rnacentral:rRNA from 1 species
UACAGAGGUCUCAAGCGUUGUUCGGAUUCAUUGGGCGUAAAGGGUGCGUAGGUGGCGCCGUAAGUCAGGUGUGAAAUUUCGGAGCUUAACUCCGAAACUGCAUUUGAUACUGCGGUGCUUGAGGACUGGAGAGGAGACUGGAAUUUACGGUGUAGCAGUGAAAUGCGUAGAGAUCGUAAGGAAGACCAGUGGCGAAGGCGGGUCUCUGGACAGUUCCUGGACCACUGAGGCAACGAAGGCCAGGGGAGCAAACGGG